rnacentral:rRNA from 1 species
GUAGUCUGCAACCCGACUACAUGAAGCUGGAAUCGCUAGUAAUCGCGGAUCAGAAUGCCGCGGUGAAUACGUUCCCGGGUCUUGUACACACCGCCCGUCACACCAUGGGAGUCGGAAAUGCCCGAAGUCUGUGACCUAACCGCAGGGGGGAGGAACAGCCGAAGGCAGGUCGGAUGACUGGGGUGAAGUCGUAACAAGGUAUC